ensembl:snRNA U6 U6 spliceosomal RNA
GUGCUUGCCUUAGCAGCAUGUACACCAAAAUUAGAACAAUACAGAGAAAAUUAGCAUGGCUCCUGCACAAGGAUGCCAUGCAAAUUCGUGAAGCAUUCCAUAUUUUU